rnacentral:pre_miRNA from 1 species
AAUAAAAUAAACCCUGGGUUUUCGUAUUCAAUAUUUGACUGUCCGUCUUAUAUGAAAUUUUUUUAUAAUUAGUAUUUUCAUUGUUGUUAGAUGAUAAAAUAUGAUUAAUACUUUAUACGUAACUUGUCUUUUUAAUUUUUUUUAUAAUUUUUUUAAAUAAGACGGACGGUCAAACGUUGGACACGGAAACUCAGGGUU